GGGUUGUGAGGUUAAGCGACUAAGCGUACACGGUGGAUGCCCUGGCAGUCAGAGGCGAUGAAGGACGUGCUAAUCUGCGAUAAGCGUCGGUAAGGUGAUAUGAACCGUUAUAACCGGCGAUUUCCGAAUGGGGAAACCCAGUGUGUUUCGACACACUAUCAUUAACUGAAUCCAUAGGUUAAUGAGGCGAACCGGGGGAACUGAAACAUCUAAGUACCCCGAGGAAAAGAAAUCAACCGAGAUUCCCCCAGUAGCGGCGAGCGAACGGGGAGCAGCCCAGAGCCUGAAUCAGUGUGUGUGUUAGUGGAAGCGUCUGGAAAGGCGCGCGAUACAGGGUGACAGCCCCGUACACAAAAAUGCACAUGCUGUGAGCUCGAUGAGUAGGGCGGGACACGUGGUAUCCUGUCUGAAUAUGGGGGGACCAUCCUCCAAGGCUAAAUACUCCUGACUGACCGAUAGUGAACCAGUACCGUGAGGGAAAGGCGAAAAGAACCCCGGCGAGGGGAGUGAAAAAGAACCUGAAACCGUGUACGUACAAGCAGUGGGAGCACGCUUAGGCGUGUGACUGCGUACCUUUUGUAUAAUGGGUCAGCGACUUAUAUUCUGUAGCAAGGUUAACCGAAUAGGGGAGCCGAAGGGAAACCGAGUCUUAACUGGGCGUUAAGUUGCAGGGUAUAGACCCGAAACCCGGUGAUCUAGCCAUGGGCAGGUUGAAGGUUGGGUAACACUAACUGGAGGACCGAACCGACUAAUGUUGAAAAAUUAGCGGAUGACUUGUGGCUGGGGGUGAAAGGCCAAUCAAACCGGGAGAUAGCUGGUUCUCCCCGAAAGCUAUUUAGGUAGCGCCUCGUGAAUUCAUCUCCGGGGGUAGAGCACUGUUUCGGCAAGGGGGUCAUCCCGACUUACCAACCCGAUGCAAACUGCGAAUACCGGAGAAUGUUAUCACGGGAGACACACGGCGGGUGCUAACGUCCGUCGUGAAGAGGGAAACAACCCAGACCGCCAGCUAAGGUCCCAAAGUCAUGGUUAAGUGGGAAACGAUGUGGGAAGGCCCAGACAGCCAGGAUGUUGGCUUAGAAGCAGCCAUCAUUUAAAGAAAGCGUAAUAGCUCACUGGUCGAGUCGGCCUGCGCGGAAGAUGUAACGGGGCUAAACCAUGCACCGAAGCUGCGGCAGCGACGCUGAUGCGUUGUUGGGUAGGGGAGCGUUCUGUAAGCCUGUGAAGGUGUGCUGUGAGGCAUGCUGGAGGUAUCAGAAGUGCGAAUGCUGACAUAAGUAACGAUAAAGCGGGUGAAAAGCCCGCUCGCCGGAAGACCAAGGGUUCCUGUCCAACGUUAAUCGGGGCAGGGUGAGUCGACCCCUAAGGCGAGGCCGAAAGGCGUAGUCGAUGGGAAACAGGUUAAUAUUCCUGUACUUGGUGUUACUGCGAAGGGGGGACGGAGAAGGCUAUGUUGGCCGGGCGACGGUUGUCCCGGUUUAAGCGUGUAGGCUGGUUUUCCAGGCAAAUCCGGAAAAUCAAGGCUGAGGCGUGAUGACGAGGCACUACGGUGCUGAAGCAACAAAUGCCCUGCUUCCAGGAAAAGCCUCUAAGCAUCAGGUAACAUCAAAUCGUACCCCAAACCGACACAGGUGGUCAGGUAGAGAAUACCAAGGCGCUUGAGAGAACUCGGGUGAAGGAACUAGGCAAAAUGGUGCCGUAACUUCGGGAGAAGGCACGCUGAUAUGUAGGUGAAGUCCCUCGCGGAUGGAGCUGAAAUCAGUCGAAGAUACCAGCUGGCUGCAACUGUUUAUUAAAAACACAGCACUGUGCAAACACGAAAGUGGACGUAUACGGUGUGACGCCUGCCCGGUGCCGGAAGGUUAAUUGAUGGGGUUAGCCGCAAGGCGAAGCUCUUGAUCGAAGCCCCGGUAAACGGCGGCCGUAACUAUAACGGUCCUAAGGUAGCGAAAUUCCUUGUCGGGUAAGUUCCGACCUGCACGAAUGGCGUAAUGAUGGCCAGGCUGUCUCCACCCGAGACUCAGUGAAAUUGAACUCGCUGUGAAGAUGCAGUGUACCCGCGGCAAGACGGAAAGACCCCGUGAACCUUUACUAUAGCUUGACACUGAACAUUGAGCCUUGAUGUGUAGGAUAGGUGGGAGGCUUAGAAGUGUGGACGCCAGUCUGCAUGGAGCCGACCUUGAAAUACCACCCUUUAAUGUUUGAUGUUCUAACGUUGACCCGUAAUCCGGGUUGCGGACAGUGUCUGGUGGGUAGUUUGACUGGGGCGGUCUCCUCCUAAAGAGUAACGGAGGAGCACGAAGGUUGGCUAAUCCUGGUCGGACAUCAGGAGGUUAGUGCAAUGGCAUAAGCCAGCUUGACUGCGAGCGUGACGGCGCGAGCAGGUGCGAAAGCAGGUCAUAGUGAUCCGGUGGUUCUGAAUGGAAGGGCCAUCGCUCAACGGAUAAAAGGUACUCCGGGGAUAACAGGCUGAUACCGCCCAAGAGUUCAUAUCGACGGCGGUGUUUGGCACCUCGAUGUCGGCUCAUCACAUCCUGGGGCUGAAGUAGGUCCCAAGGGUAUGGCUGUUCGCCAUUUAAAGUGGUACGCGAGCUGGGUUUAGAACGUCGUGAGACAGUUCGGUCCCUAUCUGCCGUGGGCGCUGGAGAACUGAGGGGGGCUGCUCCUAGUACGAGAGGACCGGAGUGGACGCAUCACUGGUGUUCGGGUUGUCAUGCCAAUGGCACUGCCCGGUAGCUAAAUGCGGAAGAGAUAAGUGCUGAAAGCAUCUAAGCACGAAACUUGCCCCGAGAUGAGUUCUCCCUGACUCCUUGAGAGUCCUGAAGGAACGUUGAAGACGACGACGUUGAUAGGCCGGGUGUGUAAGCGCAGCGAUGCGUUGAGCUAACCGGUACUAAUGAACCGUGAGGCUUAACCUUACAACGCCGAAGGUGUUU
rnacentral:rRNA from 1 species